AACAAACAAAUAAGAAGAAACUCAUCACCAAAGGCCCCAUGGAAUAUCUGCAAUACCCUGAAGACCAUGAUGUUCAGCAGCAACAAGGAAGUGCCACAAGAAAGCAUAACCAUUGAUCAUUGACAAAAUGACUUGGCUCUAUCUGGAUUUAUGUAAGAAAUCCUUUUGUAAGGAUCUUUGCAAAUUUUCCUUGGUAAGACCAAGAUUUCUAGUACUAGCAAGUAUGAA
rnacentral:lncRNA from 10 species